UGGGGAAUAUUGCGCAAUGGGGGAAACCCUGACGCAGCAACGCCGCGUGAAGGAUGAAGGUUUUCGGAUCGUAAACUUCUUUGAUUGGGGACGAAUAAUGACGGUACCCAAAAAACAAGCCACGGCUAACUACGUGCCAGCAGCCGCGGUAAUACGUAGGUGGCAAGCGUUGUCCGGAUUUACUGGGUGUAAAGGGCGUGUAGGCGGGAAGGUAAGUCAGAUGUGAAAUUCCAGGGCUCAACUCUGGCGCUGCAUCUGAAACUAUCUUUCUUGAGUGAUGGAGAGGAAAGUGGAAUUCCUAGUGUAGCGGUGAAAUGCGUAGAUAUUAGGAGGAACACCAGUGGCGAAGGCGACUUUCUGGACAUUAACUGACGCUGAGGCGCGAAAGCGUGGGGAGCAAACAGG
rnacentral:rRNA from 1 species